rnacentral:rRNA from 1 species
UACGUAGGGUGCGAGCGUUAAUCGGAAUUACUGGGCGUAAAGCGUGCGCAGGCGGUUCGUUGUGUCGGCGGUGAAAGCCCCGGGCUCAACCUGGGAAUGGCCGUUGAAACUGGCGAACUGGAGUGUGGCAGAGGGGGGUGGAAUUCCGCGUGUAGCAGUGAAAUGCGUAGAGAUGCGGAGGAACACCGAUGGCGAAGGCAAUCCCCUGGGCCUGUACUGACGCUCAUGCACGAAAGCGUGGGGAGCAAACAGG